rnacentral:rRNA from 1 species
UACGUAGGGUGCAAGCGUUGUCCGGAAUUAUUGGGCGUAAAGGGCUCGUAGGCGGCCAACUAAGUCAGACGUGAAAUCCCUCGGCUUAACCGGGGAACUGCGUCUGAUACUGGAUGGCUUGAGUGUAGGAGAGGGAUGCGGAAUUCCAGGUGUAGCGGUGAAAUGCGUAGAUAUCUGGAGGAACACCGGUGGCGAAGGCGGCAUCCUGGACUACUACUGACGCUGAGUGAGCGAAAGCCAGGGGAGCAAACGGG